GGUAAAAUGGCUGAAUUAUAGGCAGUAAAUUGUAAAUUUAUUUAUGGAAUUGAAAUUCCUUUUACCA
rnacentral:tRNA from 1 species